rnacentral:lncRNA from 1 species
GGUCUGGUGGUUUUGCUAAGGAGCUUGUCCUAUAAAUUGAGCCAUAUCAAAAAUUAGAAUGAUGUGAUUCUGCUUGUAUUUUAGAAUCAUACUGAAAGUAGUAUGGAGGGAGCACAGAUGGAGGAAAGACUCAGCAUGUCUGGAGGCAAGAGGACCCGUGUGGAGAGAAUAGCCUAGGUUGUUGUUUGGAUUCAAUAAAGUGUUGCUACAUGAAGAGCUCCAAGAACAGCCUCUGGAAGACAAUACAUCACAUCCUGUAUUACCUUCCCCUGAUCUCACAGCUUCCGAAAACAGGAACGAUCACGGCUUUGAAGGUAGGCCACGCUGGUGUCACCAGUUUCUA